rnacentral:rRNA from 1 species
AUUGAACGCUGGCGGCAUGCCUUACACAUGCAAGUCGAACGGCAGCAUGAUCUAGCUUGCUAGAUUGAUGGCGAGUGGCGGACGGGUGAGUAAUACAUCGGAACGUGCCCUGUAGUGGGGGAUAACUAGUCGAAAGAUUAGCUAAUACCGCAUACGACCUGAGGGUGAAAGUGGGGGACCGCAAGGCCUCAUGCUAUAGGAGCGGCCGAUGUCUGAUUAGCUAGUUGGUGAGGUAAAGGCUCACCAAGGCGACGAUCAGUAGCUGGUCUGAGAGGACGAUCAGCCACACGGGGACUGAGACACGGCCCAGACUCCUACGGGAGGCAGCAGUGGGGAAUGUUGGACAAUGGGCGAAAGCCUGAUCCAGCAAUGCCGCGUGUGUGAAGAAGGCCUUCGGGUUGUAAAGCACGUUUGUCCGGAAAGAAAUGGCUCUGGUUAAUACCUGGGGUCGAUGACGGUACCGGAAGAAUAAGGACCGGCUAACUACGUG